UAGCCAAACAAUAAGAUACA
rnacentral:siRNA from 1 species